rnacentral:lncRNA from 12 species
GCAAGCAACCUCAUGGAGAGCAGCAGAGGACGAUGCGGGUGUCCCCACUUCGAGACGCAGGCCGCCACAAAGAUUCCAAUUAUCCAUAACCAGAGACAUAGAGAGAUCGACAGGCGAGUCGAUGACUAGGCGAGGAAAGAAAUGAGGAAAGCAAUGGGCAUGACUGAAGAAAGUGGCCCCUAAGGAAGGAAGGCAACCAGUCCAUCCGUCAAUGGAUCCAGUGAAAGGCUUGAGGCCCACCAGGAAAGAGUCAGGAGGGAAAGCCAAACUUGCAGGGAGGUCGUAUUGGAGGAAAGGGUUCGCAGACCCUGGAGAGAGAGUCCGUGGAACCACGCCUCCUCCACGUUCUGUGGUGGGCACACGUGAGGGAAGGGUGAAAUCCCCCUUGGGGAGUCCAAUGCCAGUGUGUUUGAGGUGAGAGGUCCCUUGUGUGUUUGUGUCAGGUGUUGGCGGGAGUCCGGUUGCCACGACCCUGGAAGCUGGCAGCGUGGGCAGGACCGCAGGGGGCCCCGGCUUCACCAGUCCUGGGCGCGUAGCAGGGGGAACCGGCAGCCCGACUGCAAGUGCCAGAGGAGGGACCCCAGGAGGUUCCGAGGGCUUGACAGCAGCACCCGGCAGUGAGAGCACACGUGGAGACUCCGGCGCCCCAGGCACGACCUCGGCAGGCAGAGCAGGAACCACUCUAGGUCCUCGGAGUGAACCUUCUGGGACAGGUGUUGGCGGGAGUCCGGUUGCCACGACCCUGGAAGCUGGCAGCGUGGGCAGGACCGCAGGGGGCCCCGGCUUCACCAGUCCUGGGCGCGUAGCAGGGGGAACCGGCAGCCCGACCGCAAGUGCCAGAGGAGGGACCCCAGGAGGUUCCGAGGGCUUCACAGCAGCACCCGGCAGUGAGAGCACACGUGGAGACUCCGGCGCCCCAGGCACGACCUCGGCAGGCAGAGCAGGAACCACUCUAGGUCCUCGGAGUGAACCUUCUGGGACAGGUGAGUGUCUUCCCUGCUGGCUUUGGAGUUCCAAAAGCAAACACAUCUGCCAUUGCCCACUACAAGUC